rnacentral:tRNA from 1 species
GGGAAUGUAGCUCAGUGGUACAGCAUAUACUUUGCAUGUAUGAGGCCCAGGGUUCCAUCUCUGGCAUCUCCC